UCUUAAGUAUGUGUCGAUGAGU
rnacentral:piRNA from 1 species